rnacentral:lncRNA from 1 species
CUCCACCGCUGCCAGGCGCAGGAGCGGUGGAUCCGCUGCCGCCGGCGCCUCUCGGGCCCGGAGGGGGCGUGCAGCGCAGCAUCGGAGCAGCCACCGGAGACGUGGAUCGAGGUGGAAGAAGCACCGGCGAGGGAGAGCUCCGACGAGUCCUCCUCCUCCUCCUUCUCCAGCAGCAGGUCAGGGCGCAGAUCCCCUCCCAGCAGCGCGCCUACUUCCUACAUCUCGCGAGCUCCGUCCAUCGAGAGGCUGCUCGAGGAGGACGCCGCACUGCUGCACGCGAGGGCGGAGGCGGGAUCUGCUACUGUGAGAGGGGAUGGUGAUUGGUGA